rfam:Salmo salar isolate Sally breed double haploid chromosome ssa13, whole genome shotgun sequence.
UGCACGCAUGACUGUAAGUCGCUUUGGAUAAAAAGUGUCUGCUAAAUGCCAUAUA